rnacentral:rRNA from 1 species
CUCAAUUUAAAUCUGGCGGUUUUGCCGUCCGAGUUGUAAUCUGGAGAAGCGUUUUCCGCGUCGGACCGUGUACAAGUCUCUUGGAAUAGAGUGUCAUAGAGGGUGAGAAUCCCGUCCAUGACACGGACUCCCGAUGCUAUGUGAUACGCUCUCAAAGAGUCGAGUUGUUUGGGAAUGCAGCUCAAAAUGGGUGGUAAAUUCCAUCUAAAGCUAAAUAUUGGCGAGAGACCGAUAGCGAACAAGUACCGUGAGGGAAAGAUGAAAAGCACUUUGGAAAGAGAGUUAAACAGUACGUGAAAUUGUUGAAAGGGAAACGCUUGAAGUCAGUCGCGUCGUGCGGAGCUCAGCCUUGCUUCUGCUUGGUGUAUUCUCCGUAUCGAUGGGUCAACGUCAAUUUCGGCCGGUGGAGAAGGGCUCAGGGAAUGUAGCGUCGUUUCGGCGACGUGUUAUAGCCUUGGGUCGUAUGCAUCGGCUGGGAUUGAGGACCGCAGCACGCCCUUGUGGCCGGGGGUUCGCCCCACGUUCGUGCUUAGGAUGUUGGCAAAAUGGCUUUAAGCGACCCGUCUUGAAACACGGACCAAGGAGUCUAACAUGCCUGCGAGUGUUCGGGUGGAAAACCCUUGCGCGUAAUGAAAGUGAAAGUUGGGAUCCCUCGCAAGGGGGUGCACCGACGCCCGGCCCUGACGUUCUCUGACGGUGCUGCGGUAGAGCAUGUAUGUUGGGACCCGAAAGAUGGUGAACUAUGCCUGAAUAGGGUGAAGCCAGAGGAAACUCUGGUGGAGGCUCGYAGCGAUUCUGACGUGCAAAUCGAUCGUCAA